rnacentral:piRNA from 1 species
UCCCUCAAUGUUUCUUUCCAGUAGUGCCU